GGCGCGGGGUGGAAACCUCCCGACAGAACGUACCUUUGCGAGGACCACUUCGAGCCCCCCCAGUUCCAGACGAGGUGCUCUGACGGCUGGAGGAGGCUAAAAGCCACAGCUGUUCCGAGCUUGUUUCUGCAUUCUGAAAGUCAAGUGAGUGUGUGUAACGAGGAUAAGUGAGAUUUUUGUUCUUUUGGUAUUUACCUAGAUUAUGAGAGUGAAUUAAAAGCAAUAAUUUAUCUUGUGUUAAGA